AUCUGCCGCCAGUCGGCGUGCCUGCAGCUGUUGGCUUGACCCCAGGCCGGGACGGGCGGAGCGGAACACUGCCCGGCGGGCCCAGGCCGACCGUGCCUGUGGCUCUCCGGAACAAUAAACCCCCGGCCCCAGUGAUGUGGGCCAGACCGGACCUGGAGAGGCGGCACCGCGACCCCUCCCUCAACCCGCCUGGCGGCCGGGGGCAGCGUGACCCGGCCCGCUACCGUGUCACAGCUGGCGACUGACAAACAGCAGGCGACGUCAGGAGAACUCCCCGAGACACCCGAGACAUCAGCCUUCUCGCUCCGCGGCCCUGCAGGACCUGCCCGCCGGGAGCCCCGGAGUCCGCGGCAGCGCCGAGGGCCCCUCCCCCAGGCCUCUAGGCUCUGAGAAUUUUGAAUCGGAUUUUACCAGCAAUUGGUAACGGAAAGGAAAGGAUGUGUCUUCCAAUUGAGAAACAGUGGUUAAAAACUGAAAUGUGGGCCGGGUGCAGUGGUUCACGCCUGUAAUCCCAGCACUUUAGGAGGCCGAGGCGGGCGGAGUAACUGAGGUCAAGACUUCGAGACCACACUGGCCAACAUGGCGAAACCCCAUCUCUACUAAAAAUACAAAAUUUAGCCGGGCGUGGUGGCGCACGCCUGUAAUUCCAGGCUCAUCCAUGGAAUACCAAUUCUUUUUCUUAGUGUUCACAUUGGAUUUUUCUGUUAAAAAUAGAUUGUUAGAGUUGGCUAACAAGUUGAUGACUUCCAGUCAAGCACUCUCUUCUGUAAAGUCUCUUUUGUAAACUCCUACAAGCAGCUAUUUCACUGGAUUUGAAAAGACUGGUUAAAAAGAACCAUGCACUGUAACUCUCAAGUAUACAGGAAUAUUGUUAUUAGGUCGCAGUGAGCCAAGAUCAUGCCACUCCACUCCAGCCUGGGUGACAGAGCAAGACUCCGUUUCCAAAAAAAAAAAAAACUGAAAAUACCAAAUAUUGACAAGGAUUUGGAGCAAGUGGAACCCUCAUACAUUGCUGAUGGAAAUGCAAAAUUAUACAGCCAAUUUGGAAAAAUAACUGGGUGUGGUGGUGCACCUAUUUUUCCAACAACUUGAGAGACUAAGGUAGGAGGAUCCCUUGAGCCCAGGAGUUUGAGGUUACAGUGAGCUGAUGGCGCCACGGCUCUCCAGCCUGGGUGACAAAAUAAAACUGUCUCAAAAAAAAGAAAAAAAAAUGAUGCUAUAAGAAAAAAACUAUAUACCAAUGUCCUUCAUUAACAUAGAUACAAAAUGUUUAAUCACAAUUUUAGCAAAUUGAAUCCAACUGUCUCCCCCACCCCCACAUCUAUCUAUAUAUCUAUAUUUGUUUGUUUUGAGACGGAGUUUUGCUCCUGUUGCCCAGGCUGGACUGCAAUGGCAUGAUCUCGGCUCACUGCAACCCCCACCUCCUGGGUUCAAGUGAUUCUCCUGCCUCAGCCUCCCGAGUAGCAGGGAUUACAGGCAUGCCCCACCACGCCUGGCUAAUUUUGUAUUUUUAGUAGAAACGGGGUUUCACCAUGUUGGACAGGCUGGUCUCAAACUUCUGACUUCAAGUGAUCCGCCCGCCUCAUCCUCCCAAAGUGUUGGGAUUACAGGCGUGAGCCACUGCAUCCGGCCUUUUUUUGUUGUUGUUGUUUUUUUUUGAGACAGGGUCUUGGUCUGUCACCCAGGCCAGAGCGAGUCUCAUGGCUCACUGUAACCUCCGCCUCCUGGGCUCAAGGAAUCCCACCUCGGCCUCCUGAGUAGCUGGGACUAUAGGCACAAGCCACCACACCUAGCUAGUUUUUGUUUUGUUUUGUUUGAUUUGGUUGGUUGUUUUUUUCUUUUGUUUUUGUUUUUGUAGAGAUGGCGUUUUGCCAUGUUGCCCAGGGUGGUAUCAAACUCCUAGGCUCAAGUGAUCCACCCACUUCAGCUUCCCAAAAGGCUAGGAUUGUAAUCACAUCUGUAGGCAUGAGCCACCACGCCUGAUAAAUCUAACAAUACAUUAAACGUAAAAUACCAGGCCAGGUGCGGUGGCUCACACCUGUAAUCCCAGCAGUUUGGGAGGCCAAGGCGGGUGGAUCACCUGAGAUCAGGAGUUCAAGACCAGCCUGACCAACAUGGUGAAACCCCAUCUCUACUAAAAAUACAAAAAUUAGCUGGGCAUGGUGGCACACGCCUGUGGUCCCAGCUACUCGGGAGGCUGAGGUGGGAGAAGGGACUAGCCUUGUCUCAGAUGAGUCUUUGGACUUCUGAGUUAAUGCUGGAAUAAGUUAAGACUCUGAGGGACUAUUGGGAACACAUAAUUGUAUUUUGCAAUGUGAGAGGGACAUGAGAUUUAGUGGGGCCAGGGGUGGAAUGAUAUGAUUUGGGUCUGUGUCCCCACUAAAUCUCAUGUCGAAUCCCCAGUGUUAGAAGUGGGGCCUGGUGGGAGGUGAUUAGAUUAUGGGGAUGGUUUCUCAUGAAUUGCUUAGUACCAUGCCCUCUUGUGAGUUCUCACAACAUCUGGUUGUUUAAAAGUGUGUAGCACCUCCCCACCCUCUCUCUUGGUCUAGCUCCUGCCAUAUAAAAUGCUGGCUCCUGCUUUGCCUUUCACCAUGAGUAAAAGCGUCCUGAGACCUUCUCAGAAGCAGAUGCUGCCAUCCUUCCUGUACAGCCUGCAGAACCAUGAGCAAAAUAAGCCUCUUUUGUCUAUAAAUUACCCAGUCUCAGCACAGGAUGGGACGUGCUGCUCUAUGGGACCUUCAGAAUCCAUGUAAGAGACCCCUAUGCCUAAGCCUCUCUGGAUGGGCUUCAGCUCCUCACAGCCAUCAGGGACCAUGCCCGGCCGGAUGCUGCCGCCUGGCUUCAGUGCCAUCUGCAUGUCCUCAGGGAUGACAAAGGACUCAUUAUACCAGAUGUCAAAUUCUACAAGGAGGUGAGGAGACAGAACUUGAGGAAGCCGAGACGGGGUCUCACUGUAUUGCCCAGGCUGGUCUCGAACUCCUGUACUCAAGCAAUCCACCCGCCUCAGCCUCCCAAAGUGCUGAGAUUACAGGCGUGAGCCACUUCGCCUGGCCUAGGAGAUAUGAGUUUACUUGAUCUGUUCAAGUAAAUUCAAUAAAAUAAAGACAGUCUUCAUCUGUCACCCAGACUGGAGUGCAGUGGCGCAAUCUUGCCUCACUGCAACCUCUGCCUCCUGGGUUCAAGCGAUUUUCAUGCCUCAGCCUCCCAAGAUGCUAGGAUUACAAGUGUGUGCCACCACGCCCUGCUCCUCUGAGAAAUAAAUGAGUAAAAUGCACCCCCUGUGAGUGAGAUGAUGCAUCUGACUUGCAGGAAUAAACCAAGUGACAUCUGGAGAUCACUCAUGGAAGCUGGCCUGGAACAGGGUUGUGAUUUAGUGAUGGAAAGCCCAGUAACCUGUGGUGUUUCCUGUCUGGAAGAAGACAAUAAGACUGAGCCAGGAGUGUGAAGAACAGUGUGGCCUCUGAACCACCUGUCCCAGAGUUGGAAUGGUCACUCACUAAAAUGCAGGUCCUGGGCCCUGCUCCAUCUCUCCCAAGUCAGAACCACUGGCUGAGGGGCUGGGAAUCUGCGCUUGACCAGCCCUCUCAGAUAAGUCAUCUGAACACGCAAGCUUGAUGGGCCUUGGCCCUCAGUGCAGGUGUAGGCGGUGCACGCCACCAGGACAAGGACACUGGGUCAGGGUAACCAGGUACUCUUUACAUGUUGAGGAUCACAUAUGGUUUUGUUUGAUCUGGUGCAGAAGCUAACAUUAGCUGAUUACCUAAUUGGGCGUAAUUCCUCCUUCGGGGAGUCUGAGGGAAGGGGCUCAAUGCUGGAAGUUUCCCGGUCCCGCGAAAGCAUGUCUUUGACAUCCCCAUCUUUGGAGGAUGGGACCAGCUGGGUCUUGGAGGUGGAAACGUAAUCCAAGUCCUUCCCAUUCACAGGGCUGCUGGCACCUUCCUUUCUUGCCAAGGAGCUGGAAGAAGGCACGGAAGCCCCAGGGUUCAGUCAUGGACAAUGAGGUAUCAGAUGCCAGGAUGAGUGACCUUUCUCAGCACUGACUACACUGGGAACCCCACCUCAUUCAGCUCCCAUCUUGUUCAUAUGCCUAGGUAAAAGCGCAAAUAGUGUGAUGCUAAGCCAGGCAGAUGUGGAGGAAGAAGAGGGCAUUUUUCUCCCUUUUAUCAGAACAAAGAGCCCUCGGUGGUCUUGGCAGGAGACGCUUGGGAAAAAUGGGUACAAUCUCCAUGGAUUGAAAGUGUACGGACCUGUAGGAUGGGCCACAGGUUCUCAGGAACCACCAUGGCUGCUGAGGUCUGAGUCAUACAGGCUUCCCUGGGAAGGACUGGCAGAGCCCCACACAGGGUGGUUCUGUCUGUGGACCAAUGGUAAAGCAGGAUGGCUCUGCCCUGCUGUUCUUACUGGUCCACACCCUGUUCUCCACACCAGCUCCCAGAAAAGUAGCUGUCCUCCCUGCCGAAGUGACAGUGCUUGGUGCCUUUCUCCGAGAAGAGGCAGAUCUGAGGACCGAACUGGCAGGAGGAUGCCCAUGGCUCUUCCCAAAGGUCUGAGGAUAGAAAAUCUGUUUCUUCCUCUUUCCUCCUCCUUGCAACGAGUGUGGCUCAGGGAACUGAGCCUCAACCCAUUGAAUACUGCACUGAUUAUCCGGAAGCAGAACAGAGAGGGUUGGGGUGUGACUGCACUCAUGAAGAGGCAGGAGGAAGCCAGGGACACUGGCAUCCUCUGCUGCCUGACUCUUGUCCUGCGUGUAACAGUUUUCUACAAUCAGCUCUGGCCUGUGGCCUGCGCUCACACACUCUUGCUCACAACAACCUCAAUGACUUGGAUGCUAUUAUUAUUAUUCCCAUUUUGGAGAUGCAGAAACAGGCACAGAGCGGUUCUCAUGUCUCACAUGGGGUGACCCCUUGGGUGUGAGAAGUGCAGAGCAGGGAAGGGAGCCCGGGCAUCAGCUCCAGAGCCUGUGCUCUUACCCACCACUACACAGCACCCUGGGAGGGCUCACUAAGUGAACCUAAAUGCUCUUCCCACCUUGCACAUACAAACGAGUCUUGCCUGAAAGGUGAACUGGAGUUUUAGGUGACCUGAGUGCCAGUCGGCGGGAAGACCCUAGUGAAGUGAGGGGAGGGGGUACAACAUAAAGUACCAGAGGGCAUGGGCUUGCUGCCAUUCCACUACUCAUUGGUGGUAUGGCCUUGGUGAGUGACUUCCCCUCUCUAAGCCUCUGUUUCUUCAUCAGUGUAAUGAAGACAUUAACUCCCACCUCACCAGGUUGCUGUGAGGACGAGAGAUGAUUCUUGUGGGGUUCCAAACCAGCCCCAGCCCGGGCCCCACAGACUUGCUAGUAUUGGCAGCAGUGAUGUCCAUUGUGCCAACCCAGUAGCUGAGACACCAGGGGGAAAGUGGGAACAGUGCACAUCCUCCCAUUCACCCACCGAGGAGGGCCAGCUGCUGAGGAGGCAGAGCGGCAAGGUCACUCACCUGAGUGGCUCUUUGAAUGUCUUCUUGGGCUUGGCUUUCUUCCCAGGUUUGGUAGAGAAAGGGGCGACUCCAAGUCCAAAGUUUUGACCUUCAGGCUCACCCACUAGGUGGCCAUCAACAUCCACAAGCCCCGCCUACAGAGAGGCCAGCCAAAGGUCUGUGAGUUAGAUUAAGGGCUUGGACCCCUUGGGGACCCACAUGUAUAUGGCCCAAGGCUCAGGGUGGACAUGUUCACCAUACACACCAAGGUUUGACAGCUGCUGAUGCCAGCCUCAGGCUGUCCCCAGUAGAGCGGUCCCUGACCACUCUGCCAAAUGUCCACUUUCCACAUGCACCCCCUCACCAGUAUGGCACCUCAUUCCAUACUCUGGGGAUCUUAAAGCUUAUUUCCAACCUAAUUCCAGGAAUUCAUCUUUAAUAUUAUUAUCCAUGUCUCUACCUUAUGGAAAUUAUUUUUAAUUCAAAAGUGGUUUACUCUUAACACAGGUCACCUGUGUUCAUUCUGGUGUUACCUUUAUCUGUUGCAAUCCUAGCUCUGGUUUAAUGCAUUAAUACUUGCUGGCUCUGCAAAGGUCUGAGGAUGGGAAAUCUGAGGUGAGUGCUGUCGGCAAGUAGCAACUAUGCUUACCUUCUGGAUAGCAGAAAUGGCUACCAAGUCAUUCCUGUCAAUGAGGGUGUACUUCCUGCGCAAAGUGGACUCCACUUCCUGUUCCUGUUGGCUUGGGAGACAGCAAGACAGAACAGCUUGUACCUGGGGCCAUGCUGAAUCCACUGGGGCAAGAACCAAGUACUGGGGUUAAAAGUCAUAUGGGUGAGGCCCCUUGUGUGGGGCCACACCUUCAUCAUGAACCAGACAUGACAAAAGGACAAAGGACUCACUUCCCCCUGCCCCAUUGCAUAUACCCACUGUCUGACCCCCAAACCCACAAGGGCCACCUUAUGCCAUGUGUGUCUGCUCCAAGAUGACACUUGAUAAGGACCAUAAGCUUUACUUGGGACCAUGUGGGGUUCUGUCUUAGGUUCUGUCUCUAAGAGGCCACUUGGAAUCACAUGACCAGCUUUAGUGACACCACCUAGCAUAAGCUGCUCAGACUAUGGGUAUGUUUGCACCCAAAUAAACCACAAAUGCCUCCUGAGGUGGGAGUGUGUGUUGCAAUAUUCACAAGGUGAAUAUUCACAAUACCCUGCUCUGGGCACUCUCAGAACUGGCACUCCAUAAACACCUCCUGUCCAAUUAAUGAACUCACUGAAUAUCCACCAGGGACCCAGGCAUGCCCCCGAGGACUCUGAUUUGGCUCUUCAUCCACAAGCAAGAAGAGGAUGCUCUUGGAGGCAAGUGCCCAGAUCGCAGGAGAUGAAAAUGGCAGCCUGAUGUAGGAAUGAGGUAGGGGUGGGGGUCUCUCACCUCAGAACCACCCGGAACUGGCUGAACACCUCCUUGAUCUGUCUAAGGCUGAUUAUCUGGAGGGAAGACGGCAAGGCAGAGGUUAGACCAAGGGCACCUAGAGGGACCAGGGGGCAUCUAUGUUAGUAGAGAAAUCAAGACCCCUUGGCUGACCCCUGGACCAUCUGUCUCGAGAAGAGGACAUGUGCACACAGCCUCUCAGCAAAGUGGCAGCCAAGCCCUCCUCCAGAGCAGAGAAACAUCUGAUUAAUAAUUUUAAAACUAAGUAUUUGCUGAGGCUAUAAAAACCACCUUUUCUAAGUGGAGACCUCUAUAAAAUGAAAUGAUUCUAUACCUUGAAAAUACCUUCUAAGGUUUUUUUGUUUUUUUUUUAAUAAAAUGUAUUUCUCCAGCUUUCUCUUACUUCCAAAA